rnacentral:rRNA from 1 species
CGGUACCCACAGAGGAAGUCCCGGCUAACUCCGUGCCAGCAGCCGCGGUAAUACGGGGGGGACGAGCGUUGUUCGGAUUUACUGGGCGUAAAGGGCGCGUAGGCGGGUCUUCAAGUCGGAUGUGAAAACUACCAGCUUAACUGGUAGCCUGCAUUUGAUACUGUUGAUCUUGAGUACGGGAGAGGAGAGUGGAAUUCCAGGUGUAGCGGUGAAAUGCGUAGAUAUCUGGAAGAACACCAGUAGCGAAGGCGGCUCUCUGGACCGAUACUGACGCUCAAGCGCGAAGGCUUGGGGAGCAAACAGGAUUAGAUACCCUGGUAGUCCAAGCGGUAAACUAUGGGUACUAGAUGUCGGAGGUAUCGACCCCUCCGGUGUCGCAGCUAACGCAGUAAGUACCCCGCCUGGGGAGUACGAUCGCAAGAUUGAAACUCAAAGAAAUUGACGGGGGCCCGCACAAGCGGUGGAGUAUGUGGUUUAAUUCGAAGCAACGCGCAGAACCUUACCUGGGUUUGACAUGCACGGGACAGGCGGUGAGAGUCGCCCUGCUCUUCGGAGCUCCGUGCACAGGUGCUGCAUGGCUGUCGUCAGCUCGUGCCGUGAGGUGUUGGGUUAAGUCCCGCAACGAGCGCAACCCUCGUCUAUAGUUGCCAUCAGGUUAUGCUGGGCACUCUAUAGAGACUGCCGGUGACAAGCCGGAGGAAGGUGGGGAUGACGUCAAGUCCUCAUGGCCCUUACAUCCAGGGCUACACACGUACUACAAUGGCCGGUACAGAAGGUUGCAAGACCGCAAGGUGGAGCCAAUCCCCAAAACCGGCCUCAGUUCAGAUUGGAGUCUGCAACUCGACUCCAUGAAGGCGGAAUCG